rnacentral:rRNA from 1 species
AGCGAACGCUGGCGGCAGGCUUAACACAUGCAAGUCGAACGCCCCGCAAGGGGAGUGGCAGACGGGUGAGUAACACGUGGGAACGUACCCUUUGGUUCGGAAUAACUUGGGGAAACUCAAGCUAAUACCGGAUAAGCCCUUAUGGGGAAAGGUUUACUGCCGAAGGAUCGACCCGCGUCUGAUUAGCUAGUUGGUGAGGUAAUGGCUCACCAAGGCGACGAUCAGUAGCUGGUCUGAGAGGAUGAUCAGCCACACUGGGACUGAGACACGGCCCAGACUCCUACGGGAGGCAGCAGUGGGGAAUAUUGGACAAUGGGGGCAACCCUGAUCCAGCCAUGCCGCGUGAGUGAUGAAGGCCUUAGGGUUGUAAAGCUCUUUUACCCGGGACGAUAAUGACUGUACCGGGAGAAUAAGCCCCGGCUAACUUCGUGCCAGCCGCGCGGUAA